UACGUAGGGGGCAAGCGUUGUCCGGAAUCAUUGGGCGUAAAGAGCGUGUAGGCGGCUCGGUAAGUCCGCUCUGAAAGCCCGGGGCUCAACCCCGGGAGGCGGGCGGAUACUGUCGGGCUAGAGUCCGGAAGAGGCGAGUGGAAUUCCUGGUGUAGCGGUGAAAUGCGCAGAUAUCAGGAGGAACACCAAUAGCGAAGGCAGCUCGCUGGGACGGUACUGACGCUGAGACGCGAAAGCGUGGGGAGCGAACAGG
rnacentral:rRNA from 1 species